ACAGGGAUUGCCCUAGUACGGCGAGUGAAGCGGCAACAGCUCAAAUUUAAAAGCUGGCUCCAGGGCCCGCAUUGUAAUUUGCAGAGGAUGCCUCUGGCGACGCGCCUUCCGAGUUCCCUGGAACGGGACGCCACAGAGGGUGAGAGCCCCGUCCGGUCGUGCGCCUAGCCUCUGUGAGGCUCCUUCGACGAGUCGAGUAGUUUGGGAAUGCUGCUCAAAAUGGGAGGUAUACGUCUUCUAAAGCUAAAUACCGGCCAGAGACCGAUAGCGCACAAGUAGAGUGAUCGAAAGAUGAAAAGCACUUUGAAAAGAGAGUUAAAAAGUACGUGAAAUUGUUGAAAGGGAAGCGCUCAUGACCAGACUUGGGCUGGCCCGAUCAUCCGGCGUUCUCGCCGGUGCACUCGAGCCGCCUAGGCCAGCAUCAGCUCUCGCCGGGGGAUAAAGGCGGCGGGAACGUGGCUCCCUAGGGAGUGUUAUAGCCCGCCGCGCAAUACCCUGGGGUGGGCUGAGGUUCGCGCGUUCGCACGGAUGCUGGCGUAAUGGUCAUCAGCGACCCGUCUG
rnacentral:rRNA from 1 species